GGAGAGAUGGCUCAACAGGUAAGAGCACUGGCUGUUCUGCCAGAGGACCUGGGUUCAAUUCCCAGCACCC
rfam:Cricetulus griseus cell line CHO-K1, whole genome shotgun sequence.